rnacentral:rRNA from 1 species
UAAACCAUGCACCGAAGCUGCGGCAGCGACACUAUGUGUUGUUGGGUAGGGGAGCGUUCUGUAAGCCGUUGAAGGUGUGCUGUGAGGCAUGCUGGAGGUAUCAGAAGUGCGAAUGCUGACAUAAGUAACGAUAAAGCGGGUGAAAAGCCCGCUCGCCGGAAGACCAAGGGUUCCUGUCCAACGUUAAUCGGGGCAGGGUGAGUCGACCCCUAAGGCGAGGCCGAAAGGCGUAGUCGAUGGGAAACAGGUUAAUAUUCCUGUACUUGGUGUUACUGCGAAGGGGGGACGGAGAAGGCUAUGUUAGCCGGGCGACGGUUGUCCCGGUUUAAGCAUGUAGGCGGAACGAUUAGGUAAAUCCGGUCGUUUAUUAACGCUGAGGUGUGAUGACGAGGCACUACGGUGCUGAAGUAACAAAUGCCCUGCUUCCAGGAAAAGCCUCUAAGC